rnacentral:rRNA from 1 species
UGGGGAAUAUUGCACAAUGGGCGCAAGCCUGAUGCAGCCAUGCCGCGUGUGUGAAGAAGGCCUUCGGGUUGUAAAGCACUUUCAGCGAGGAGGAAGGUGGUGGACUUAAUACGUUCAUCAAUUGACGUUACUCGCAGAAGAAGCACCGGCUAACUCCGUGCCAGCAGCCGCGGUAAUACGGAGGGUGCAAGCGUUAAUCGGAAUUACUGGGCGUAAAGCGCACGCAGGCGGUUUGUUAAGUCAGAUGUGAAAUCCCCGGGCUCAACCUGGGAACUGCAUUUGAAACUGGCAAGCUAGAGUCUCGUAGAGGGGGGCUAGAAUUCCAGGUGUAGCGGUGAAAUGCGUAGAGAUCUGGAGGAAUACCGGUGGCGAAGGCGGCCCCCUGGACGAAGACUGACGCUCAGGUGCG